CCUACGGGGGGCAGCAGUCGAGAAUCAUUCACAAUGGGGGAAACCCUGAUGGGGCGACGCCGCGUGGGGGAAUGAAGGUCUGCGGAUUGUAAACCCCUGUCAUGUGGGAGCAAAUUAAAAAGAUAGUACCACAAGAGGAAGAGACGGCUAACGCUGUGCCAGCAGCCGCGGUAAUACAGAGGUCUCAAGCGUUGUUCGGAAUCACUGGGCGUAAAGCGUGCGUAGGCUGUUUCGUAAGGCGUGUGUGAAAGGCGCGGGCUCAACCCGCGGACGGCACAUGAUACUGCGAGACUAGAGUAAUGGAGGGGGAACCGGAAUUCUCGGUGUAGCCGUGAAAUGCGUAGAUAUCGAGAGGAACACUCGUGGCGAAGGCGGGUUCCUGGACAUUAACUGACGCUGAGGCACGAAGGCCAGGGGAGCGAAAAGGAUUAGAUACCCCAGUAGUC
rnacentral:rRNA from 1 species